GUCCCUCCAAGGACAUUCGUUAAAAUUGGAAUGGCACAGAGAAAAUUAGCAUGGCGCAUGCGCAACGAUGACAUGAACAAAUCGAGAAAUGGUCCAAAUUUUU